rnacentral:snRNA from 1 species
GUGCUUAUUUUGUAAUCAUUUAUCCUAAAAUUGGAUUGUUACAGAGAAGAUUAGCCUAACCUGUGGGCAAGGAAAUCCAGGUCUAAUUUCCAAUUUCUCCCAAAUUUU